UGCUGACCGGCGUCCCUGCACCUGACUCGAGUCACGGGAAACGGCUGAGUCACUCUGUCCACUUUCGAGCGCGGCUUCGGACCUCAGGAUAGGAUUUAAGAAGUCAUUUCCCAGGAAAGAAGGUCUUUAUUUGCCCAAGUGUGUUAUCAUUUUCAGCUUGGAAGUUUUCAGUCAUUCAUUGGUUGAGGAAUUAUUUCAGAGGAAUGUGUAUAUUCAUAUGUCUAAUAAAUUUGGAUAUUUAUAAUAAAAUCAAAACCUCAUAGUUUCUCUAAAUGAGGUAGACUACUGUGCGUAGAGUGCUUAGAAUAGCUUAUAGAGAGCAGUAAUAAACAUAGUUUUUCUCUCUUGACAGUACCAGUAUAGGGAUGGAGGCCAUUUUAAACAAAAGUGUAAUAUAAUGAAAUCCUCUUUACUUAUAACCUAAUUAGAAAUGUUAUUUAAGUGGCCAAGAGUGUGUGGAAAUUGACCAGACUUCUGUAUAUUUUCUUCAGAAUACUUUGAAACCUCUUUCACUGUUUCACAAUAUUUACAGAUUGUGCAAAUCAGAUUUAGUAAUACUAUAGAUAGUCAAAUGCCUUAGAGAAGAACAAAACAGGAAUUACUAGCCAAUUUACAUGUUGAUGUCCUAGGAUACAAGUACAAUGUUAAUGAUAUUUUUUUUAACAAAAGAUUGCAUAGAGAGUUAAGGGAGGACUUCCCUGGUGGCGCAGUGGUUAAGAAUCCGCCUGCCAAUGCAGGGGACACGGGUUCGAUCCCCGGUCCGGAAAGAUCCCACAUGCCGCGGAGCAGCUAAGCCCGUGCGCCACAACUACUGAGCCUGUGCUCUAGAGCCCGCAAGCCACAACUGCUGAAACCCGUGCACCUAGAGCCACAACUACUGAAGCCCAUGCGCCUAGAGCCCAUGCUCCGCAACAAGAGAAGCCACCGCAAUGAGAAGCCAGUGCAUCGCAACAAAGAGUAGCCCCCGCUCGCCGCAACUAGAGAAAGCCUGCGCGCAGCAACAAAGACCCAGCACAGCCAAAAAUAAAUUAAUUAAUUUAAAAAAAGGGAAAAAAAAUUCAGUUUUAUCUCUCAAACUCGGGAUACUUAAAAUCACAUUCUUAAGUUAAUAAACUCUGUUAAUAUGCUAAGCACAUCCUGUUUGGCUUUCCUUACAGUUGCCACCUUUAGUGUAGUGUUUUAAAUAAAGCUUUUCCUACUCAGAA